rnacentral:tRNA from 1 species
AAGGGAGACCUAAUUCAGGUAGGAGACGAAAAAAAAGUAGUCCCAACCAAGAAUCAAUCCCAAAAGGUCGGAGCGAGGCGAAAUUGGCUUUCAAACUAGGUUCUGGGUUCACACAAGACCUGAAUCAGGAACAAGGGCUAUUAGCUCAGGUGGUUAGAGCGCACCCCUGAUAAGGGUGAGGUCCCUGGUUCGAGUCCAGGAUGGCCCACCUGCACAGGUGGCAAAAACAAGAGAAGCGAGGAAUCAGCACCUUACCUUAUCUAUAUAUAUAUAGGAGAGAAUGCUGGCUCUGAGUAAAGAGUCCAGAGGAACCUUGAAAACUGCAUAGAGUUAGGUGAAAAAGCCAAAAAAGAAGACCGCAA